rnacentral:rRNA from 1 species
AUACGGAGGGGGCUAGCGUUGUUCGGAAUUACUGGGCGUAAAGCGUACGUAGGCGGACUGAUCAGUUGGGGGUGAAAUCCCAGGGCUUAACCCUGGAACUGCCUUCAAUACUGUCAGUCUUGAGAUUGGAAGAGGUGAGUGGAAUUCCUAGUGUAGAGGUGAAAUUCAUAGAUAUUAGGAGGAACACCAGUGGCGAAGGCGGCUCACUGGCCCGAUACUGACGCUGAGGCGCGAAAGCGUGGGGAGCAAACAGGAUUAGAAACCCUAGUAGUCC